GCACAAAGAACACUUAAGACAAACAAAGGGGACCAGGAGAAAGAUAAGUUUGGGGUAUACUUAUAGAUCUAUAAACCGUGCUCCUCAGAACACCUAUAGUCUUAAUAAACCGAAGACCUCUUAUGGUCUCAAAACCUGUAUCUACCUGAGAUACCCUGUAAGAGGAACACCACGAGAGGACAGAGUCACAGAGACAGAGUGAAGAGUUUGAAGAAGGAGAGCAUGAUCAACGGUGUCAAAGGCAGCAAAGAGGUCAAGAAGAAUUAGUAUGGAGUAGUGGCCUUUGGAUUUAGCUGCGAUUAGGUUGUUAGUAACUUUGAUAAGCGCGGUUUCAGUAGAGUGGAGAGGGCAGAAGCCAGAUUGAAGAGGGUCAAGGAGAGAGUUGGAAUUGAGAAAAUGAG